ACAUAUUUUUUCUGCACUUGGGCCAACGCCCCGUCAGCACGCCAGAAAAUCGUUCCCCUUUUUUUUUCUUUUUCUUUUCUUUUUUUUUUACCGUAGACCAGCUUUUUUUCUUUUGUUUGCUUUUUUUUUCGGGGCGUCCGAAAGUUCUUUUUAUUUCGUGCAGGGUUAGACGGUCCAGUUGUACAGUUAGUCGUUGUGAAUGGUUCGAUUUUGGGAACGUACUUUUAUUCAUCAGUAGCGCAGGUGUGUGUUGCACAAUGGCCCUUGUCAAACAAAAACAGAAAAACGAGUUAUUUCAAUUAUUAUUAGUUGUGUGUGUGUGUGUGGCUGUUUUUAAAAUCGUAUGGUACUAGUCGGCGCAUGGAACCUGAUGCCAGUACAACCUUGAAUGGCAAUACUGAACAUGUUUCUUUCUUUGGUCUUCACUUGCUUAGAAAGCUCGUUUUCUUGGAGCAUUGUCUGCUUCGACGGAGUCUGUACGUGACAAGUGGAUUUCACGAUUGUUGAAAUGGGGAAAAAACAAAACAAAAACGGGUUUAUCAUUUUACGUAAACGGCCGUUCUUUUUUGUUUUACAGAAAAAAGUGGGGGGAGGUAAAAUUAACGAUCUGUGGGAGCUGAAAUGUUUGCCAAUCAAUCAGGAUUGUCGACAUGAUUUGUAUUUUUAAAAAGCGCAACUCGAAUGUCUGGUUAGAUGUUUUUAAUUUUUUGGAAAUAUUUUUUUUUCUUCUUUUUCGAGAUGGGUGUUCGGAAAAUUCAAACACCGUGACCCGCUGCUUCGUGUGUCGGGCCAGUCUCUUUCUCUCUUUCUGUGGGAAACCCAAAAAAGAUUUCAAAAAAAACAAAAUAAAUUUAAAAAGGCGACUCGUUAUACUUUCUCGACUUCCAGUCUGCCAACGUUACUGAGAGAGAGAGAGACUUCAAUCAUCAGGAAUUCCGAGCUGGAAAUCUGGGGGUCUUUUUUGUUCCCCGACCCUUUUUUUUUUAUUUUCAUUUUUUCUUAGGGGGAGUCCUUUAAAAAAAAAAAUAUCCAAAGUUGUGAUUCGAAUGACGUGAUAGAGUUUCUUGUAAAGUGAAAACCGACAGCAGUGAAAUACACGACAUUAUACGAUGGGUGGCAGGUGAAACCGUAACACGGGGCCAAGCAAAGGAAAAAAACAACAAACUGUUCCAGCCAGAAGCAGCGCUCAUUUCGAAUGACCUCGCCCGACUUGCACGGCCAACAACUCCGGUUUCUCCUUAAUUCAGUCCCCACCAAUGAUUAUUUCAACAGCAAAAACAACAACAAAAAACGAAGCUACCCCCCUCCAGGGCACGAUCCGGCGCAGCGGUGGAUGCCUGUACGGGUCGGAGCAAUUGCAAGAAAGUGGUCAAUCUCCAGUGGAUAGCAACCGAUCACGUUGUGUACCGUCGUCCAUUUCGAAAUUGCACAUCACUUGGACACACGGCCGUUGGGGAAUGCAGUUUGCAGCACGUCUUCUUGCCAUCAGCCGGACAUAACUUCAGUUUUAGGCCAAAUCGUUUGUUCCAGUUGAUCCAGCAAUAAAUUACGUGCUCGUUUGAUUGUACCGGUGGGCUGUGGCGUGUUGAAGUCUGCGGCCGAUGUUGAACAAUGUCGGCCACCACGUUUUGCCUUUCAAUGACGAGCUGCCCCAAUCGACUUGAAUGGUGAUAUCAAUUCAAUUUCAUCUAAUUAACAAUCUAGUUUGGUUUCAUCUGUUGUUAUGGAACCCAUCCAUUGUGAAGGUGUUUUCAUCCAAACCAUUGCCGGCAGCAAGACGAGUGCAAUUGGGAGUCAAUUGCAUCUUCUUUUGCAUAACAGCGUCCAGGGCCACUUGCCUUGCACAGAACAUUUGAUUUCAUUUACCUUUGAAAAUUGAAUUCCAAUCAUUUCUAACUGACCUUUCUUUACCGGAAAAACUUUCCAAAUUGCCAAUCAGGUUUCGUUGUUGCGAGGGGAGGGGUUUUUUUUUUGUUGUUUCAAUUUUGCCUUUAAACUCGAUCGUUCUAAAAAAACAAAACAAAUGACUCCGACGGCUAUCUGUAAGCCAAAACAACUUGGAAUAAAUGGCCAGUGUAUUAAUAGAAUGAAACCCUUCGGUGCGCUGGAUCCAGUCCAAAACGGGGCGACCCGUGGGUAACGUGAACAUCCGGCAAUCGAUUAAUCUCACAAUCUGCGCAUAAUUGCGAAUGAAACUUUGGGUCCAUAAUAAUACGCAGAGUCAUUUGUGUUCCGUUUCCAGUGAAAUUCCAAGUUUUUUCGUUUGCCAAUUCUGACAGGGCGAUGCCUGGCACGACGUCCACAGUUCUGGAGAACUGGAUUUUUUUUAAAUGUACAUAUUUCGCCUUUCACCUUUUUCUGCUCAAAUUGUACAAGAAAAAUUCUCAGGAAGGUUUAAAAAAAAAUGUAAUAAAAUAAAAAUGUCUUGGCUACCACCAAAGACAAUUUCUUAAUCAGGGUCGUUUCGUCUAAUAUGCAAAUGUGGUCAGUUGGACGUGGAAAAAAACUCGACAAAAGGUCAGAUUUGGGCUCGGUUUAGUACCGAAACAAGCCAACCGUAUCCAAACACGCAAUCAAAGACCGUUCGAAUAAGUAAAUGUUAAAUCAAAAUGGCCGCAUUUGCAUGUUUUCGCCCGUUUGACACCAAAAGCGGACUGCGCGUCGAUGAACCGCUUCGUUUCUUUUUUUGUUUGUUCAAAACCAGCGAUCGAUUGUACAGGUAAACAACUUUUUGUUUGAGCUUCAAUUGCAUCCGGUUCUGGCCUUCGAUCAAUCGAUCCUUGACUGGUUUUUUUUUUAAAACUAUUUUCAAAGGGUCUCGGCAGUGUCAUGCGAGUCACUUUCACUAUUCAAGUACGAAUGCGGAGUAUGUCAUUGAGAACGUAUAGAGUGUGCUUUUUGUUUGUUUCAAAAAGUUCGUUUCAAGUUUGACCGGGUUAAAAAAAAACAUUUUUAAAAAAGGGGAGAUAGAAAAUGGCGUCAAUGGCGCGAUUGGGAAAGAAAAAAGGGAGGAAAUGACGAAAGCAAGAGCCGAUCAUUUUGAAAUGCUUUUGUUAGAUGACAACUACUGUAUUUGAUCGUGUAAAAAAACACGAGUAUUUGUGUUUGUUUUAAAAAAAAUGGUUUUCUGUUACCACAACAGAUUUCGGCUUGUACAAACGAGUAAAGAAAUGGCUAAAUAUACAAUUGAAAGAAAAUGUUGCUAAAUCCCAGUGAAA